UACAGAGGUGGCAAGCGUUGUUCGGAUUUACUGGGCGUAAAGGGUGUGCAGGCUGCCCCUCAAGUGGUGUAUGAAAGGGCUCGGCUCAACCGGGCUAGGUUAUGCCAGACUGAGGGGCUAGAGAGCGAGAGCGGGACGUGGAAUUCCGGGUGUAGUGGUGAAAUGCGUAGAGAUCCGGAGGAACCCCAGAGGCGAAGGCGGCGUCCUGGCUCGCAUCUGACGCUCAGACACGACAGCAUGGGGAGCGAACGGG
rnacentral:rRNA from 1 species